UUUUCCUAUAAAAGGCAUUGUCCUUUGCCUAACAAGGGGGAGAGUUUUUUUUUUGAGAGAGUGUUUUGGAAAGACUAGACUGCGAGAUCAGAAUAUUGAAGAAUUUGAGAGCUCAAAUACAUAGAUUUUAGAUCUUAGAAGAAUUCCUAAAAAUCAACACACAAAAAAAAAAGCUUAGAAAUCCAACCAAAACUACUGUUUUCAUCAAGUUUUCAGCAGUUCUAAUUCCUUUCUCAUUUAUGAAAAUACUUGGGUUCAUCUAUUUUAGAGUUGACUUAAACCGCUCAUCAAAAUCCGGUGUUAGAUUCAGCUAUGUUCGCUGUUGCUCCAUGGGUUGCUGCAUUCUGUUCCCUAAAUUUGUAUUGAAUUUGUUUGGUGUUUGUGGGUUCUGUCACGCUGUUGCUGCCUAGCUGACCUCCAAUUUCUCUUAUUCUAUUUCUAAAUUCUAGGUACUUCCUUGGCCUCAAAAUGAUAUGGGAAGAUUUAAUCGAAACAUGUAACCAAGUCAUAGGAAAAUGAUGAAUUGCAACACAUUUUCUUCAUGUUGUUUUACUUUGAUUUGUCUUCCUAGCAUAUUUGUGUGUAUUUAUAAUUUACUUGCAAGCAUGUUAGUUCAAGUGUUAGAUUUUAGCUUCAUUGGAGUGUGAGAGUUAUAUGAUUUAGACCUUUCAAUGUUUGUAAUAAUUGGACAGUGGACUUUUAUACAUCUUCAAGGCUUAUUAUCAUAUUUAGCUGUAGGUUUGAAUACUGUGUGAACUUCAAAGUGAUUGUAGGGUGAGUGUUUGUAUUACUUUAAUUUGUUAGUUCUAAUUCCAUGCUUCAAUACAUGAUUCCCCACAACUUAAUUUUGAGGCCAUUUGAUUAGAGUUUUAAGAUCUAUAAAAAUCAAAACACAAUCAUUCAUGCAUGCUCUCAAUUUAAAUAUAUAUAUCCCUGUUGUUCAUCUAGUAUUUGCAUAUUAAAAAUUGAAUUCUAAAAGAGCUAGCCAACGAUUUAAAACAGUGUAGUACCUUACACUUAAACUGUAUUCGUUUUAGUUUGGGAUUCACAAUUUGUUUUUAAAUGCAAUGGUUCAAAAUUGAGCAUAUAGAAAAUGAGCAUAUAAAAUUUUAGAGGAUUUGUUUUCUUGUUGAGUAAUAUACAU
rnacentral:lncRNA from 1 species